GAUCCCGGCUGGCCUCUCUCUCAACAGUAAUUAUAUAUUCCCCAUAUACAUAGGGAGAUGAUCAUAGAUCUUUCUUAUAUAUAUACACUCGCAUACUUCUUCGAUCUCAUGCAAUUAAUAUUGGUUGCAACUCUCUCCAUCUGCCUCUCUUUCUCUGAUAUAUAUAAACAAGAAAAUGAUGGAGACGAAGAAGUUGGAGUUAGGAACUAAAAUGGCGACUAGUAGUACUACUGCGAGCUGCAGGAAGAAGAAGAAUAUCAGGAGCUUAGUUCCUCCAGUUAGAGGAAGUAUUAAGCGCAGGAUUGUCACCAUUUUAUAUCAGAACUUGAAGCUCGCAAGCCAGCUUGCCCUACAUUACCUGCUCAUGAGCAACAACGUCAACCACAACCACAACCACAACCACAACCACAGUAGUACUUAGCCAUCCUCUUCUUUCCGUGAUCAUGUACAAGUUACAUACUAUAGGUGGUGAUGUUGGAAUUAUUAUUACCAUGCUUUAUCGAAAGACCAUUCAUGAUGACAAGAAGAAUUGGAGUACCCAAUCAAGCAUACAUGAAGAAAGGCACCAAAGAGGAAGACAAGAGUAGAAUCACAUGACAUCUUCCUGGCUUGCAGUCAUGACGAUAUAGUCUAGGAUAUAUAUAUAUUGUAAGAAUAAGAAGGAUCCCAAAAUCAAAAUCCUCAAGAAUUUAUAGGGUAAUCAUGUGAUGUGUAACGUGGUUUCUAUUCUCACACCGUACGUAAGAAAAUAAUGAAAAGUUGAUAGCUUUUGUUUUGUUUCAAAAA